UUUAUGGAGAGUUUGAUCCUGGCUCAGGAUGAACGCUGGCGGCGUGCCUAAUACAUGCAAGUCGAGCGAACUGAUAAGGAGCUUGCUCCUUUGACGUUAGCGGCGGACGGGUGAGUAACACGUGGGUAACCUACCUAUAAGACUGGGAUAACUUCGGGAAACCGGAGCUAAUACCGGAUAAUAUUUCGAACCGCAUGGUUCG
rnacentral:rRNA from 1 species